rnacentral:rRNA from 1 species
GUGGGGAAUAUUGGACAAUGGGCGAAAGCCUGAUCCAGCCAUGCCGCGUGUGUGAAGAAGGUCUUCGGAUUGUAAAGCACUUUAAGUUGGGAGGAAGGGCAGUAAGUUAAUACCUUGCUGUUUUGACGUUACCGACAGAAUAAGCACCGGCUAACUUCGUGCCAGCAGCCGCGGUAAUACGAAGGGUGCAAGCGUUAAUCGGAAUUACUGGGCGUAAAGCGCGCGUAGAUGGUUUUGUAAGUUGGAGGUGAAAUCCCCGGGCUCAACCUGGGAACUGCCUCCAAAACUGCAUGACUAUAGUACGGUAGAGGGUAGUGGAAUUUCCUGUGUAGCGGUGAAAUGCGUAGAUAUAGGAAGGAACACCAGUGGCGAAGGCGACUACCUGGACUGAUACUGACACUGAGGUGCGAAAGCGUGGGGAGCAAACAGGAUUAGAUACCCCAGUAGUCC